GGAAUGAAAUGGUCCGGUUUAUUUCCUCUUCGUGUGUGGAUUGUAUGUUUCCUGUGUCGUCCAUGUUGUUCAGAUGAUCAGUGAGUUCUUGUGUGUGUCCAGAUUUUAUUAUUUCCAGGAUGUCGUGGACGUAUCUUCUCCAGAGUGUGGGUCUGCAAAGCGGGGAUGGCUUUGGUUUCCAGGUCCUCCAUGAAAAAGUUACUCGUUAUGGCUGAAAGUGGAUCUUUUUUUCAACUUUAUUUUACCAGCAUUAAAACUUUGUCUGCAGAGAGAAAAGAACGACUCCGUUUUUUGCCAGACUGGAGGAUGUUGGAGGGAGUCUGUUAAUCUCUCUGGACCUGACAUUUGAAAACCUCCACCUCUCCUCACCCUCCCAGCCCACUGAUGUGAGGAAAUCCAGCUCUGAACAGACUGAACUUCUAAAUCCCUCCUGGAAGCUUCACCCUGAACAGACAACUGCAACGCCGUGGUAACGGGCAGAUUACAGCGUCAGACGUUCCUGCAGAAACCCUCAGAGCCCAGAGGGAUUCUUACCGAUGCUCAGGAGAUGGACGAGGAGAGGAAACGUUGUCCAUCCUCCAGACGGAUCUGAAGACCCGACCGGCCUCUGGGGCGGCGUUUGGUGAAGUUAUCUCUGGAGGCUGCUGGAGGAUAAAUGUGGAGAUCUGCAGAUAGAAGCCAAGAAGAUGAACGGAGCUGGAGAGGAAGAAGAUCUACAGUGGUGUUCAAAAUAAUAGCAGUCCCACAUCACUUUAUCAGGACCGUCAGUGUUGAUUUAACUUAUUUCUAAAACAGCGGCGGACUACUUCCAGCUGCGGAGGGACACCCUUUUCCA